rnacentral:rRNA from 1 species
UACGGGGGGGGGCAAGCGUUUGUUCGGAAUUACUGGGCGUAAAGGGCUCGUAGGCGGCCAACUAAGUCAGACGUGAAAUCCCUCGGCUUAACCGGGGAACUGCGUCUGAUACUGGAUGGCUUGAAUCCGGGGAGGAGGGAUGUCGGAAGUUCCAGGUGUAGGCGGUAGAAAUGCGUAGAUAUCUGGAGGAACACCGGUGGCGAAGGCGGCAUCCUGGACCGGUAUUGACGCUGAGGCGCGAAAGCCAGGGGAGCAAACGGG